UCUCUCUCAGCUUUUGCAGUUUUUACGUUUUUGUUUUCAUUUCGUUAAAAAAAUAUGAACACGCCCCUGUUUAAGAUCUAGAACUGGUGUAACGUGGUGGUUUUAGAGGCUUUGCUGGUCUGAUUGUUUGGUUACUGAGAAAAAAAGGUCGAAAAACAAAAAAAAUUAAAAUGAUUUUCAGCAUUUUAAUUUGAGUAGUUUGGACUGCUAAAAAUUCAGUGAUCGCUAAUCGUAGGUUGCAAAUUAAAUCCUCAUUUUCUACUGAAUGGAUGAUAUUUAUUUAGAUGAGCUUUUUGAUUUAGAACUCACAAAAUGAAAGAAAGAAAGACGAGGAGUUUUUUCUUUCCUUGAUUUUCUCUGCUGCCAAACAAGCAGGCGGGUAGGGAUUUGUUUCGGCUUACAAUGCGCUACGUGUGGGUGGUCCCACAUUUGUUCUCAAUUUCUUUAUUUUUUUUUUCCUAGUGACUAGUAACUUAAUGUAGCCCAAGAGGGUCGGUCAACGUUCCCCACCGCAGGCAGUUGUGCUUAUAUAAAUCAGUAUGUCAACGUAGGCUUAGCCCAAAGGCUACUUGUGUAGAGUGGGUGUUCUUACUCACUGGCCUCUGCCUAGAGAUUUUGUCCCUUGCUUUUGAUCAGGCUUCCUCCCCAAGUAAGCCCCAAUAUGCACUGUUUGGUAUGAUAUCAGCUAUUGCAGCUGUACUCGUUUGCAUCUGGGAGCUCAUUUACAAGGGUAAAAAGGAAAGAGUUGUAUUGCAGCGGUGGGGACGGUUGUGGUGGUUCUAUUAUCCACAUUCCCAGCAUAGGCUUUUUGGUACUGUUCUGGACUUUUAUGGAUUAGUUGGGGGAAUUGCCCAGUGUAUUUGCUCGACUGUUCAAUACAUUUGCUUCCGUCAGCAUGCUGAUAAUCCUAUCAGAGCAUCUCUUUGGCCUGCCCUCUUUCUUAUAUGCUUAGGUGCUAAAAAAUUAAAUGAUAAUCGAAAUGAGGUCUGUGAUGAACACGGAGAUUGAACAAAGACUAAUUGAGAGUAGACCAAAUAUGGGGAUGGUUGAAUGUAUAUACCAGAGUAGACAUUGGCAUUUAAGUCAUUUGGUGUUGCGAGUUUUAGAUUUCAAUUUUAGUUAUGUGGCCGCCUCUGUUGUAAAAGAUUGUAGUUUUGAUGGAUAUAUGCUGCUUUUCCUUUCUAUAUGGACGGAAGUGAUCUUGGCUUUGCUGAAAAGUUGUCUAAAAUAUUCCUGGA